rnacentral:rRNA from 1 species
UGUAUAAUGGGUCAGCGACUUAUAUUCUGUAGCAAGGUUAACCGUAUAGGGGAGCCGCAGGGAAACCGAGUCUUAACUGGGCGUUAAGUUGCAGGGUAUAGACCCGAAACCCGGUGAUCUAGCCAUGGGCAGGUUGAAGGUUGGGUAACACUAACUGGAGGACCGAACCGACUAAUGUUGAAAAAUUAGCGGAUGACUUGUGGCUGGGGGUGAAAGGCCAAUCAAACCGGGAGAUAGCUGGUUCUCCCCGAAAGCUAUUUAGGUAGCGCCUCGUGAACUCAUCUUCGGGGGUAGAGCACUGUUUCGGCUAGGGGGUCAUCCCGACUUACCAACCCGAUGCAAACUACGAAUACCGAAGAAUGUUAUCACGGGAGACACACGGCGGGUGCUAACGUCCGUCGUGAAGAGGGAAACAACCCAGACCGCCAGCUAAGGUCCCAAAGUCAUGGUUAAGUGGGAAACGAUGUGGGAAGGCCCAGACAGCCAGGAUGUUGGCUUAGAAGCAGCCAUCAUUUAAAGAAAGCGUAAUAGCUCACUGGUCGAGUCGGCCUGCGCGGAAGAUGUAACGGGGCUAAACCAUGCACCGAAGCUGCGGCAGCGACACUAUGUGUUGUUGGGUAGGGGAGCGUUCUGUAAGCCGUUGAAGGUGGCCUGUGAGGGUUGCUGGAGGUAUCAGAAGUGCGAAUGCUGACAUAAGUAACGAUAAUGCGGGUGAAAAACCCGCACGCCGGAAGACCAAGGGUUCCUGUCCAACGUUAAUCGGGGCAGGGUGAGUCGACCCCUAAGGCGAGGCCGAAAGGCGUAGUCGAUGGGAAACAGGUUAAUAUUCCUGUACUCGGUGUUACUGCGAAGGGGGGACGGAGAAGGCUAUGUUGGCCGGGCGACGGUUGUCCCGGUUUAAGCAUGUAGGCGGAUGUU